GGGCCCAUAGCUCAGUGGCAGAGCGGCCGGCUCAUAACCGGUUGGUCCCUGGUUCGAGUCCAGGUGGGCCCA
rnacentral:tRNA from 1 species